rnacentral:lncRNA from 1 species
CUCAUGAAUCUAAAGGUAAAUCCUAAAAUUAUAAUUGAUUUAUAAUUGUUGAUUUUUAUUAGCUACCUUAAUUUAAUUUUAUUGCCUUCAUAUAAUUUUUUUCUCUCAUAUUAUACCUUGAAUUUCAUAAUAUAACAUUGUUUUCAUUUAUUUUUCAAAAAUUAUUAAUUAACUCUAAGCAUAUUUUAAUUUAGUCCAGGCACCGGAUGUUGGAAGUGGUGUUGCAUCAUCAAGUCAGAAUAUUAUGGGAUCAAGUGGAGGCAAUAAGACAAAUUAGGAUUGAAAGUGAAAUAAUUUAUAUUUUGACAAUUUAAUAUACUUUGUUGUUUGGAUUAGUUUGACAUUAUUAACUUUGUUAUCAAUGAAUAAAUGAAGUCAUCUUUUGAUUAUUAUGUUUAGC